rnacentral:rRNA from 1 species
AUUGAACGCUGGCGGCAGGCCUAACACAUGCAAGUCGAGCGGAUGAGUGGAGCUUGCUCCAUGAUUCAGCGGCGGACGGGUGAGUAAUGCCUAGGAAUCUGCCUGGUAGUGGGGGACAACGUUUCGAAAGGAACGCUAAUACCGCAUACGUCCUACGGGAGAAAGUGGGGGAUCUUCGGACCUCACGCUAUCAGAUGAGCCUAGGUGGGAUUAGCUAGUUGGUGAGGUAAAGGCUCACCAAGGCGACGAUCCGUAACUGGUCUGAGAGGAUGAUCAGUCACACUGGAACUGGGACACGGUCCAGACUCCUACGGGAGGCAGCAGUGGGGAAUAUUGGACAAUGGGCGAAAGCCUGAUCCAGCCAUGCCGCGUGUGUGAAGAAGGUCUUCGGAUUGUAAAGCACUUUAAGUUGGGAGGAAGGGCAGUAAGUUAAUACCUUGCUGUUUUGACGUUACCAACAGAAUAAGCACCGGCUAACUUCGUGCCAGCCGCCGCCGUAAGAC